rnacentral:lncRNA from 1 species
GGCAGGUUUUCGAUUAAGGCUUCACAUGCAUUUUUACGUGAAAUGAAAUCGCCUGGAUUGAAGUUUCUGCACAACUGCCAGUUUAUAUGGAUGAAAAUUAAGAUCUUCAUGCAGAAUUCGUUACACGGUACGAUCAGAAAUCGAAAGACCAGCUGCAUGUUUCCCUGCAGAUCGCUUAGGGAUUUUAAAACUGCCAGCCUUACUCUCUCGAUGUUUUCUGGUUUCCUGGUUGUUUUUGAAGGUCCUGGUUUAUUUUUUGCACACAACCAGUAUCCAUAAAUGUGUCCACCCAUUGAACAACUGAUUUUCGAUCAGGAACACGACUGCAGGC